CGCUCGGUGCGCAGGCGCAGCGGGUCUCCGUCGGGUUGCGGCAGUUUAGAAACUGGAAAGGUGACCUCGUGGGUAGCCAGGGCCUGCGGUUUUUCUAGGCCAAGGUUGGGGCCUAGGGGAAAAGAUGGCUUGGAGGAGCCUGACUUGCUAACACUCCUUUCUCUGCCAUUGAGUAGCGCCUUCUGUUUACCUUUGCCAACUCUUAACCCUGUACUCCCGCCUCCAUUGCAAAUCUGUUACAGAAAACGGAUAUUUUGUGUAUAGCGGAAUCUGUGACCGAAAGGGGCAGGUCCUGUCGUUGGUGCUAUGGUUUGAAUAUGGUUGGUCCCCACGACAGCUUGCGGUGAGGCUGUCCCAGUGUGUUGGGAGUGGAAAUAUUUUAAGAGGCCCUCAAGAGGGGAUUGAUGCCAUCUGCGGCAGUGAGUUUGUUCUAGCUCAGAUGGGACCCAAUUAGCUACCCAGGGCGCAGGUAAGGGGGUUGCCGCUGGUGUUGGGCAGCUCCUAUGGGGCUAUUUCACUUUCUGCCGAGUUGGGGGUUGAAGCAGCAUGCAGCCCUCCCAGAAGCUGCGCAGAUGCGGGUGCCAUGCUCUUGCACUUUCGUUACGGUUUGGAUCAGACCUGUCUCCCAGAGGCUCAUGUACUGAAGGCAUGAUCCCCAGUGCAGCAGUGUCCAGAGUUGACAUCUUUACUCCACCACGUCCUAAUGCCAUGAUGUUCUGCCUCACCUCAGGCCCACAGCAAUGGAGCCUGCUCCCCACCGACUGAACCCUCUGAAACCCUCAGGGAGUCUCAUUCAUCUCUAAACUCCUGUUUAGAGGAGUUGAGGCAGUAACCCAAGUAGAAACAUUGCCCAAUGGAAUUGGUGAAUGGAAGCAUCUCAUCUCAGAGCACCGCAGAUUCCUCAUCUGCAAAUGGAGCAGCUUGGCAAGAACAAAACCAUCUCCAAGGUACCUUCCAGGUUUGACUUCCUAAAACAUCACAGGUGCAAAGUGUUUUCUUUUAAAUUGAGAGAUAAAAUUGUACAUAUGUUCAUGUGUAACAAUGUUUAAAAGUAUAGGCACAUUGUGGAAUGACUAAAUCGAGCCAAUUACCAUAUGCAUUAUCUCACAUGCUUAUCCUUUCUGUAGUGAGAACAGACACUUAAGGUUCACUCAGUAUUUGUAUUAACUGUUGUCCCCAGGCUAUGCAGUAGAUUCUUGAACAUAUUCCACCUAUUUACCCGAAAUUGUGUAUCCUUUGACCGGCAGUCAAAGCAGUCACCAUCCAGCUGUGCAUGUUGAACAUGACAUUGGCAACUUGCCCUCUUCCUGUACCUUUAGUCUCUUCAAAUGUAAAUUGAAAAUAAGUGAUUAUAAGUAAAAGAAAAUAAAAAUCAAGUAAGCAUAAGGUUGUUUAUGAAGACAUGUCCACUUUUUAUUAUUUUUUCCUUAAGUAAUGAGGACUUUUAAAAGUUUGUUUUCUGCAAAACAUUAACUGUUAGUUUAAAAAUGUGUCUAUGUUGAGCUGUAAGUUUCCUAAGUGUUUGACUUCUCUGGUAUGGUUUGUUUGCCCUUUGCAAUGUUUGUUCUGUCUUCAGACUUCCAACAAGUCAAUACUAGAAUAACAAUAAAUGUAAAGUAACCUCCUGGUUCUGUUCAUUCAUCCCUUCAGACUCAGAACUCAUAAAUUAAUAAGUGAGUGUUCCUAUGUCAAUCCAGUCAGCAAGUGAUCAAUUUUGAACCUUGGCUUCUGAAUAAUACAUCUGGGGUAUUUAUCAAUUGAAUUUUUCACAUCCAGCCUAAUAUUUCAUGAGAAAGAAGGUUUAAUGAUUUCUAACUCUCUUUUCUAUUCCCACUGCCCCUGUCCAGGUCCUUGGCUUGAAAUUUGGCUUUAUUCUUACUAUUGACAGUGAUUUAAAUGACAUUUAUAUUGCAUAGAAAAUGCUCAAAUUAUCACUCCAAUAGGCAAGCAUAAGUCACUGAGAGUGAAAUGUCUUCCAUCUCAGUUGGCCAGCACAUCACCUCCAUGAAAGGUUUCAACAGGGAGAGGAACUCGCUCUCUUUAUACAAUGACUAUCUGGAUCUGCUGGGGAGCGCAGGCACCUCCUCACUCCUGGAUGUCAGAGGUUGGCUUUGUCUCUUUCUGCCUUAUCAAGGAGACAUUUUGAACCCCGCUGCACCCACGUUCUCAUGGAUGGUGGCCUUUGAUUCCUCUGGAUGCAGAAUCUGACUCUUGUACUUUUCCUGCCAGUCCUCCACGAUGUACUGGUGGUAGGGGUCCUGGGAGUGCUCGCGCCUCUUGGAUUUCACAGUGCUCACCAGGAUGGCGACGACGAUGAAGGAGAACAUCCCUAUCAUCACCAUGAGGUACAGGAUGACGUAGUAGAAGUUCUCAGCAUCCACCUUGGCCUGGAGUGCCGCCUGCGCCUCUGUGGUGUUCCUGCGCCAGUUGUUCAUGUAUGUGAUAAAAACCCUUCGGAAGACGUCUUCCAGCGUCUGGGUCAGAUUGAGUAACGAAGGCAUGCUUCCCUCCUGCUGUGAUUUAAACAAUAAAAUAGAUGAACGAGG